rnacentral:lncRNA from 10 species
GCCUCCAGCUGAGAAAGCAAAGCCAACUCACAGUUCCUUGGCUGUCCCGCGGAGCCUGCGGUGGCAAACCACCUCCUUCAGAAGGGUCUGUGGAUUCUCCUGGCUUUUCUGUCCUUGCCGGAGUCCCACUGCUCCCGAACACAUGCCCUGAGGCAGCGUGCCUGCACAACCAGCUUCCAUCUGAACGCUUCAGACAUGCGCUGCAUUCAGGGCAGGGACUUUUCUUGGACAGAGAAGCUGAGAAGUAUCAGAUAAAGAUGACCUGCAUGUACUGGAAAAUAAUCUGUGGUUUAUAUGUAGGCGGAUGGAAGCAAACCAGGGUAAUAUACAUUUAGAGGCAGAGGGCUCUCACAAUAUCCUCUUCAAAAAACAUUAGGAUGAAAACAGUUGCAGAACAUUUCUAGUAAAAUAUAUCAUUAAAACUUA